UGAGGGCAAAUUCAGACUUCAGUGGGUAUC
rnacentral:piRNA from 1 species